ACCCCCCCCCUUCGCUCCCUCACGUGACCCGUCUGUCAGCGCCUCCGCCUGAGUCCGGAUGGAAGCGAGGGAGGGAGCGCUUCAACGUGGGAGCACAGCUGAGCGGGCGGGCCUAGCAAAGGCGGAGCAAGGACCUUGAUUCCCGGGUUCACUGUCACGCCAAGUCACGCGACGUCAUGCGGUCGGGCAAGAUAGAAGUGAAAAGAAGUUCACCACUGCAGCAAGGACACCAUCCUCCUGCGCUUAUCUCCAUGAGGCGGCCUGCUGGGGAGCAAGUUAUCCCUGUCUCUUAGCAACGGGAUUCGGAUGGCCAUGUAAGCAUGUCGGUUGCUGUUCCAUGGCGAAGAAGGGACACGUGUUCCCCAGGCAGCCCUUGCUCUGGCUGGAUUUGCUCUGCUGUGCAUUGCCAACUAGGCACAACCUGAAAUAUCAUAAAGAGGCUUUGCAGUCAUCAUGGAAAGGCC